rnacentral:lncRNA from 1 species
GGCUGGGCCACUGGAGGGAGCUCGCCUUCGCUGAACUCCUAGCUGCAUUGUCACCUGCGCACCUAGCUCAGGCAAUUGCACUCACGAACUCCUGACGGUUGUGAUUCCCUACACAAGACCUGUACAGCAUCAGCGUAGUAGACACUUGAUCAUGGGCAGAAGGCGUCUCACAAGCUCUCACUUCCAGAUGACAAACCAGAGAGUUGACAGCUGCCAAGGAGAAAGUCAGCU